CCUUCAAACAAAAAAUAGUAAUAUAUAAUAAUACUUCUUAUAUCCUGCCCCAUCUCCCCAAGGGGACUUGGGGCAGCUUAAUAAAUAAUAAUAAUUAUUAUUACUAUUAUUAUUAUUUUAUUAUGACACAGCAAACAAGAUAGACAUGCUGGAUUUCGUAUCACAAAAUCACAAGAACUCUUCCCAAGUGUCUAGGACUGUGUGAUGUAUUUUCAGAUGAUGCGUGCAGAUCCCAGUAGGGUAUUACUAUUAUUAUUGUUUUAUUAUGACACAGCAAACAAGAUAGAUAUGCUGGAUUUCAUAUCACAAAAUCCCAAGUCGAACACUUCCCAAGUGUCUAGGACUGUGGGAUGUAUUUUCUGAUGAUGUGUGCAGAUCCCAGUAGGGUGGCCUUUUGCAGCUGGCAGAUCAUAAUUUUGUCAAUGUCUAUUGUUUCCAAAUGCCGGCUGAGAUCUUUUGGCACGGCACCCAGUGUGCCCAUCACCACUGGGACCACCUGCACUGGUUUCUGCCAGUCUUUAUUUAUUUUUAUAUCCCACCCCAUCUCCCUGAAGGGACUCGGGGUGGCUCACAACAGGGAAAAGCCCGAAACAACGACAAAACAUAUUUGACAAAAACUUAAAACAUUUCAACGAUACACAAAAUAAAAUAAUGGACAAUACAUUAAAAUCCAAGCAGAUAAAAUCAGAGUAAUUAAAAUCAAACCAGCGGGGACAGGAUUCAUAAAGUGCGGUAUCAUGGAAAUGAGUAACAGUGAUAAAGUGCCGUACGGUUUUAAAACAGAAAGAAGUAUUCUGAGGACAGCUCUGUUGGGCUUACAAAGGGACCAUGCCCAAACAAUAUAGAAAUACAAGAGUAAAAAACAAAUUCAAACAUGGCAAUAAAUAUAUAUAUAUAAAAGCAUACAACAAUUUAAAAACAAUUAAAAUAUGUUCAAUGCCCUGGAGCGGUAUAGUUGGUACUUCAAUCUUCAGACUAAGGACUUUAUAAGGUUAACAAAGUGCAAAGCAUUAUAACGUCUAGUGGAAGGAUAUAGCGAUAAGGUGCAAAGUGUUGGGAUAAAAAGCGGUAGGGGCUCACUUUGAUGUUGUUCCUAAUUAAAAAUGGUUUGAAAAAACUAGGUUUUCGGAUCUUUCCUGAAGGAGGUCAGCGUGGGCGCUAGAAAAGGGUCUGACUAUGAUUCUAAGCUCUGCUCCCCCUCCUCUCUUGAAUUGCAGUCCCAAGACAAAAGGCACGGCUUGCAAUUGGGGUGGAGGGGAAGGACGGGGUCCCCAAAUUACAGGAAGGGCUCGGAAGCACUCUCCUGGACGGACAGACAGACAGAGCCAGACUUCCCUCCACAUCCUUCCAUUGGGGCUCCUUUGACGAUCCAGGCAAAUGGAGGCAAGAAAUCCCAUCAAAGGAGCCGGGAGGAGGCCCUGCCGCCAUGAAAGGCCUCGCGUGUUGUCACUGAAGGGAAUGCGGCUUUGUCCAUGAAGAGAGACCGCAAAGGGCCUUCCCUCGUGGUUUUCCAAAGGGACGCGUGGUGGGACCACGUCCCAGAACAGAGGGCCUGAUUCCAGGCAGGAAAACCUCAAAAAAGUGUUGAUCUUUUUCAUCUCUUUUCCCUUUACCCUAACCCCAUACCCCUAUUAUUUGCUUUUAACAUGUAUAUAAAACUUAAUAAAGAUUAUAUAUUUUUUAAAA